rnacentral:rRNA from 1 species
CGCAAACGGGUCGUCCUAUCAGGUUGUUGGUGGGGUAACGGCCUACCAAGCCAAAGACGGGUAGCUGGCGUAAGAGCGUGGUCAGCCACAUCGGGACUGAGACACUGCCCGGACUCCUACGGGAGGCUGCAGUCGAGAAUCUUUCACAAUGGACGAAAGUCUGAUGAUGCGACGCCGCGUGGGGGAUGAAGGUUUUCGGAUCGUAAACCCCUUUUGUAGGAGAGGAAAUCCAUUUGCCUAAUACGUGAAUGGAGUGACAUUAUCCUGCGAAUAAGCCACGGCUAACUCCGUGCCAGCAGCCGCGGUAAUACGGAGGUGGCUAGCGUUACUCGGUUUGACUGGGUGUAAAGGGUCCGCAGCGGCCAUGUGUGUGAAAAGUGAAAUCUUUUGGCUCAACCAGAAAAUUGCUUUUCAAACUGCAUGGCUAGAGGAUAGAAGAGGAGAGCGGAACUGUUGGUGUAAGGUGAAAUCUGUGGAUAUCAACAGGAACGCCCGUGACGAAGGUGGCUCUCUGGUCUAUAUCUGACG